rnacentral:rRNA from 1 species
AUGGGAGCGGUCCUUCGAGACGACAAAGGCAGGUUCAUAGCUGGAGGGAAUGAGAAAAUAGAUUUUUGCGCAGAUGUGUUGAUGGCGGAAGCUUUAGCUCUAAAAUUCGGUCUAACACUGGCGCAACGGUCGGGAUGCAAUCGCCUUAUUAUAAAUUCAGAUAAUUUGGAGGUGAUUGAUACUAUGAAUGAUGGAGGACAAUCGGCGGGUGCGGCGGCAACAAUCUUUGAUGAUUGUUUUCAUUAUGCUUGUGAUUUCGUUAUUGCUAGAUUUGAGCACUGUAAUAGGGAAGUAAAUAAAGUAGCUCAUGAGCUUGCUAGAUUAGCUAGAUUUUCUUUGACUUCUGAUUGGUUUGAGGAGCCUUUAAAUGAAAUUGUAAUGAUCCUCACAAACGAUGUACUACUUAUUACAAAUGAAUAA